GUGUUCACUUCAGCAGCACAUAUACUAAAACUGGAAUGACACAGAGAUUAGAAUGUCCCUGUACAAGGAUGACAUGCAAAUCCAUGAGGCAUUCCAUCGUUUG